CCGGACCAGUGUCCAGGGUCUGUCCCCACCCUGACGUGCGUCGCGGGUAACUGCGGGGUGCGGAGCUCAGGGGGUCAAGCCCAAGGGUGC
rfam:Actinobacteria bacterium OK006 ctg69, whole genome shotgun sequence.